rnacentral:rRNA from 1 species
UACGUAGGGUGCGAGCGUUGUCCGGAAUUAUUGGGCGUAAAGAGCUUGUAGGCGGUUUGUCGCGUCUGCCGUGAAAGCCCAGGGCUUAACCCUGGGUCUGCGGUGGGUACGGGCAGACUAGAGUGCGGUAGGGGAGACUGGAAUUCCUGGUGUAGCGGUGAAAUGCGCAGAUAUCGGGAGGAACACCGGUGGCGAAGGCGGUUCUCUGGGCCUUACCUGACGCUGAGGAGCGAAAGCGUGGGGAGCGAACAGG